rnacentral:rRNA from 1 species
AGAGUUUGAUCCUGGCUCAGGAUGAACGCCGGCGGUGUGCCUAAUACAUGCAAGUCGUACGCACUGGCCCAACUGAUUGAUGGUGCUUGCACCUGAUUGACGUUGGAUCACCAGUGAGUGGCGGACGGGUGAGUAACACGUAGGUAACCUGCCCCGGAGCGGGGGAUAACAUUUGGAAACAGAUGCUAAUACCGCAUAACAACAAAAGCCACAUGGCUUUUGUUUGAAAGAUGGCUUUGGCUAUCACUCUGGGAUGGACCUGCGGUGCAUUAGCUAGUUGGUAAGGUAACGGCUUACCAAGGCGAUGAUGCAUAGCCGAGUUGAGAGACUGAUCGGCCACAAUGGAACUGAGACACGGUCCAUACUCCUACGGGAGGCAGCAGUAGGGAAUCUUCCACAAUGGGCGCAAGCCUGAUGGAGCAACACCGCGUGAGUGAAGAAGGGUUUCGGCUCGUAAAGCUCUGUUGUUGGAGAAGAACGUGCGUGAGAGUAACUGUUCACGCAGUGACGGUAUCCAACCAGAAAGUCACGGCUAACUACGUGCCAGCAGCCGCGGUAAUACGUAGGUGGCAAGCGUUAUCCGGAUUUAUUGGGCGUAAAGCGAGCGCAGGCGGUUGCUUAGGUCUGAUGUGAAAGCCUUCGGCUUAACCGAAGAAGUGCAUCGGAAACCGGGCGACUUGAGUGCAGAAGAGGACAGUGGAACUCCAUGUGUAGCGGUGGAAUGCGUAGAUAUAUGGAAGAACACCAGUGGCGAAGGCGGCUGUCUGGUCUGCAACUGACGCUGAGGCUCGAAAGCAUGGGUAGCGAACAGGAUUAGAUACCCUGGUAGUCCAUGCCGUAAACGAUGAGUGCUAGGUGUUGGAGGGUUUCCGCCCUUCAGUGCCGGAGCUAACGCAUUAAGCACUCCGCCUGGGGAGUACGACCGCAAGGUUGAAACUCAAAGGAAUUGACGGUGGCCCGCACAAGCGGUGGAGCAUGUGGUUUAAUUCGAAGCUACGCGAAGAACCUUACCAGGUCUUGACAUCUUGCGCUAACCUUAGAGAUAAGGCGUUCCCUUCGGGGACGCAAUGACAGGUGGUGCAUGGUCGUCGUCAGCUCGUGUCGUGAGAUGUUGGGUUAAGUCCCGCAACGAGCGCAACCCUUGUUACUAGUUGCCAGCAUUAAGUUGGGCACUCUAGUGAGACUGCCGGUGACAAACCGGAGGAAGGUGGGGACGACGUCAGAUCAUCAUGCCCCUUAUGACCUGGGCUACACACGUGCUACAAUGGACGGUACAACGAGUCGCAAGCUCGCGAGAGUAAGCUAAUCUCUUAAGGCCGUUCUCAGUUCGGACUGUAGGCUGCAACUCGCCUACACGAAGUCGGAAUCGCUAGUAAUCGCGGAUCAGCAUGCCGCGGUGAAUACGUUCCCGGGCCUUGCACACACCGCCCGUCA